rnacentral:tRNA from 1 species
GGGAAUUAGCUCAGUUGGCUAGAGCACUUGCCUUGCACGCAAGGGGUCAAGGGUUCGAAUCCCUUAUUCUCC